rnacentral:lncRNA from 1 species
AAGGGAAUCUGGAGGGCAAAGCUUCGUCAAUGACAUAUUUCAAGGUUAAGCAGAAGAAGAGGAAGGAGAUGGAACAGAAGCAGCCAGGGAGGAAGGAGGAGACCUAGCUCGUGAGGCCAUCAAGGGAGUCCCAGGAAAAUGGGGUUCAAGUAGGAGGGAGGGAGGGGCCGCCCUUAUCAUGGGUGGGACCAAGACAAAAGUGUGUCUUCUGGUUUCCUAAAGGGAAAGGUAGAUAGUGUUGGUGAUUUUUGGAGAGUGGUGGGAGGCAGAGGCGGCCAAGAAAAGGUAAGAGGGAGGGGGUGAAGGCAGAAGUGAGAGCAGCUCUUUUCCAAGAAGCGUGGUGACACCUAGGGGUGGAGGAGGUUUAUCCCCCAAAGAGGGAAGAAGCAUGCCUAUAUUCCUGGAAGUCUCCCUGUUCUCAGACGUGAGGCACAGCUCGCCAACAACACAACACUAGGAACUGGAGCCUUCAAGGCUGAAGCAACAGCUGACCCAGGAGCCGACUCUACUGCAGGGCAGAACGCUCCGGUGGGGCACAGCCUCCUUCCUGGGGCUCUGGAGGGAACACAGUCUGGGAGGGGCUAAGGCUCAAGGUGAGAAAAAUGAGCAAGCCCGGGGGAUUGUGACGUCACUCUCAAGAACAGGCAAAAUGCUGGAGAGAUGGAGGAAGGGUAGCGUGCCUGGCAGAGGGUACAGCCAAUGCCAUGGCAAAGGAGGCAGGAAGGCACGGUAUCCGUUCUGUAAACUUGUGCUGAAGCCGCCUUGAGCACUGGGUGGAGCUGUCCAGCCUUCAGGGAAAGCCCGUCCCUUCCCCACCAACUCCCCCCCCAACCCUCCCAUACACCCACCCACCGCUGCGCGCGCCAGGCGGUCAGUUCCCUGAUUCCUGCCGACAGCUCGCAGUGGUCUCCUCCGGGGCUGUGGUUGUUAGCUGAGGUUUGGAAUUCUGUUGCUGGUAAUUUCGUCGAGGCCAGUCUUAUUCAAAGAAGGAGGACACUUCUCAAGCAGCAGGAGUUUGCUGGUGUCUUGUCUUACACUGAAAUCUUUAAGCCAUUUUGAGUUUAUUUUUGUGGAAUUAUGUCAUCACUUAUGAUGGAGCAUGAUAAUGUGAGAAAAAAGAAUGUAUACAUGUAUGUGUAACUGGGUCACCAUGCUGUACAGUGGGAAAAAAAAUAAUGUAUUGGGGAAAUAAAAAAAAAAAAAAGAAAGAAAGAAACCAGCUAGGAUCCAUGAGGAUGUGGGUUUGAUCCCUGGCCUUGCUCAGUGGGUUAAGGCUCCAGCAUUGCCGUGAUGUGGCUCGGAUCCUGUGUUGCUGUGGCUGUGGUGUAGGCCAGGGGCUAUAGCUCCAAUUCAGCCCCUAGCCUGGAAACUUCCAAAUGCUGUGGGUGUGGCCCUAAAAAAAAUAAAGAGACAAAAAAAAAAGUUAUUAAAUAACUGAAUAAAAACUAGUACAGAAAAACAGCAAAGACAACAAAACUUUAGGAGGAAGUAAACUCUGAUUUCCAUAGUUGCCAUGUUAUAUUACAAGGCAUACCUCAGAGAUUUUGUGGAUUUUGUUCCAGACUAGCACAAUAAAGCAAAUAUUGAAAUAAAGCAAGCCACAUACAUUUUUUGGUUUCCCAAUGCAUGUAAAGGUUAUGUUUACACUGUAUUAUAGUCUAUUAAGUGUACAAAAGCAUUAUGUCUACAUACCCUAAUUUAAAAUAUUUUAGUGCUAAAAAAUGCUAAUCAUCAUCUGACAACACAGGGUUGCCAAAAACCUCACUAUUAAAAAAAAAAAAAAUUCGGAGUUCCCGUCGUGGCGCAGUGGUUAACGAAUCUGACUAGGAACCAUGAGGUUGCAGGUUCGGUCCCUGCCCUUGCUCAG